rnacentral:rRNA from 1 species
GGGUUGUGAGGUUAAGCGACUAAGCGUACACGGUGGAUGCCCUGGCAGUCAGAGGCGAUGAAGGACGUGCUAAUCUGCGAAAAGCGCCGGCGAGGUGAUAUGAACCCUUGACCCGGCGAUGUCCGAAUGGGGAAACCCAGUGCAAUCCGUUGCACUAUCGUUAACUGAAUACAUAGGUUAACGAGGCGAACCGGGGGAACUGAAACAUCUAAGUACCCCGAGGAAAAGAAAUCAACCGAGAUUCCCCCAGUAGCGGCGAGCGAACGGGGAGCAGCCCAGAGUCUGAAUCAGCUUGUGUGUUAGUGGAAGCGUCUGGAAAGUCGCACGGUACAGGGUGAAAGUCCCGUACACGAAAAUGCACAGGCUGUGAACUCGAAGAGUAGGGCGGGACACGUGGUAUCCUGUCUGAAUAUGGGGGGACCAUCCUCCAAGGCUAAAUACUCCUGACUGACCGAUAGUGAACCAGUACCGUGAGGGAAAGGCGAAAAGAACCCCGGCGAGGGGAGUGAAAAAGAACCUGAAACCGUGUACGUACAAGCAGUGGGAGCACCUUCGUGGUGUGACUGCGUACCUUUUGUAUAAUGGGUCAGCGACUUAUAUUCUGUAGCAAGGUUAACCGUAUAGGGGAGCCGAAGGGAAACCGAGUCUUAACUGGGCGUUAAGUUGCAGGGUAUAGACCCGAAACCCGGUGAUCUAGCCAUGGGCAGGUUGAAGGUUGGGUAACACUAACUGGAGGACCGAACCGACUAAUGUUGAAAAAUUAGCGGAUGACCUGUGGCUGGGGGUGAAAGGCCAAUCAAACCGGGAGAUAGCUGGUUCUCCCCGAAAGCUAUUUAGGUAGCGCCUCGUGAACUCAUCUUCGGGGGUAGAGCACUGUUUCGGCUAGGGGGCCAUCCCGGCUUACCAACCCGAUGCAAACUACGAAUACCGAAGAAUGUUAUCACGGGAGACACACGGCGGGUGCUAACGUCCGUCGUGAAGAGGGAAACAACCCAGACCGCCAGCUAAGGUCCCAAAGUCAUGGUUAAGUGGGAAACGAUGUGGGAAGGCCCAGACAGCCAGGAUGUUGGCUUAGAAGCAGCCAUCAUUUAAAGAAAGCGUAAUAGCUCACUGGUCGAGUCGGCCUGCGCGGAAGAUGUAACGGGGCUAAACCAUGCACCGAAGCUGCGGCAGCGACACUAUGUGUUGUUGGGUAGGGGAGCGUUCUGUAAGCCGUUGAAGGUGGCCUGUGAGGGUUGCUGGAGGUAUCAGAAGUGCGAAUGCUGACAUAAGUAACGAUAAAGCGGGUGAAAAGCCCGCUCGCCGGAAGACCAAGGGUUCCUGUCCAACGUUAAUCGGGGCAGGGUGAGUCGACCCCUAAGGCGAGGCCGAAAGGCGUAGUCGAUGGGAAACAGGUUAAUAUUCCUGUACUUGGUGUUACUGCGAAGGGGGGACGGAGAAGGCUAUGUUAGCCGGGCGACGGUUGUCCCGGUUUAAGCAUGUAGGCGGAGGUUCCAGGUAAAUCCGGUACCUUUUAACGCUGAGGUGUGAUGACGAGGCACUACGGUGCUGAAGUAACAAAUGCCCUGCUUCCAGGAAAAGCCUCUAAGCAUCAGGUAACAUCAAAUCGUACCCCAAACCGACACAGGUGGUCAGGUAGAGAAUACCAAGGCGCUUGAGAGAACUCGGGUGAAGGAACUAGGCAAAAUGGUGCCGUAACUUCGGGAGAAGGCACGCUGAUAUGUAGGUGAAGCCCCUGCGGGUGGAGCUGAAAUCAGUCGAAGAUACCAGCUGGCUGCAACUGUUUAUUAAAAACACAGCACUGUGCAAACACGAAAGUGGACGUAUACGGUGUGACGCCUGCCCGGUGCCGGAAGGUUAAUUGAUGGGGUUAGCGGCAACGCGAAGCUCUUGAUCGAAGCCCCGGUAAACGGCGGCCGUAACUAUAACGGUCCUAAGGUAGCGAAAUUCCUUGUCGGGUAAGUUCCGACCUGCACGAAUGGCGUAAUGAUGGCCAGGCUGUCUCCACCCGAGACUCAGUGAAAUUGAACUCGCUGUGAAGAUGCAGUGUACCCGCGGCAAGACGGAAAGACCCCGUGAACCUUUACUAUAGCUUGACACUGAACACUGGUCCUUGAUGUGUAGGAUAGGUGGGAGGCUUUGAAGCGUGGACGCCAGUCUGCGUGGAGCCGACCUUGAAAUACCACCCUUUAAUGGCUGGUGUUCUAACGUAGACCCGUGAUCCGGGUUGCGGACAGUGUCUGGUGGGUAGUUUGACUGGGGCGGUCUCCUCCCAAAGAGUAACGGAGGAGCACGAAGGUUAGCUAAUCCUGGUCGGACAUCAGGAGGUUAGUGCAAUGGCAUAAGCUAGCUUGACUGCGAGAGUGACGGCUCGAGCAGGUGCGAAAGCAGGUCAUAGUGAUCCGGUGGUUCUGAAUGGAAGGGCCAUCGCUCAACGGAUAAAAGGUACUCCGGGGAUAACAGGCUGAUACCGCCCAAGAGUUCAUAUCGACGGCGGUGUUUGGCACCUCGAUGUCGGCUCAUCACAUCCUGGGGCUGAAGUAGGUCCCAAGGGUAUGGCUGUUCGCCAUUUAAAGUGGUACGCGAGCUGGGUUUAGAACGUCGUGAGACAGUUCGGUCCCUAUCUGCCGUGGGCGCUGGAGAAUUGAGGGGGGCUGCUCCUAGUACGAGAGGACCGGAGUGGACGCAUCACUGGUGUUCGGGUUGUCAUGCCAAUGGCACUGCCCGGUAGCUAAAUGCGGAAGAGAUAAGUGCUGAAAGCAUCUAAGCACGAAACUUGCCCCGAGAUGAGUUCUCCCUGAGACUUAAAGUCUCCUGAAGGAACGUUGAAGACGACGACGUUGAUAGGUCGGGUGUGUAAGCGCAGCGAUGCGUUGAGCUAACCGAUACUAAUGAACCGUGAGGCUUAACCUUACAACGCCGAAGGUGUUU